UGCNGUUUUUACGUGGUGCAGAUUGACUG
rnacentral:piRNA from 1 species